GACAGAGGUCCCGAGCGUUAGGCGGAAUCACUGGGCUUAAAGCGUGUGUAGGCGGAUCGUUAAGUGCCUUGUGAAAUCCCACGGCUCAACCGUGGAACUGCUUGGCAUACUGGCGGUCUUGAGCCACUUAGGGGCUACCGGAACAAAUGGUGGAGCGGUGAAAUGCGUAGAUAUCAUUUGGAACGCCAAUGGUGAAAACAGGUAGCUGGGAGUGUGCUGACGCUGAGACACGAAAGCCAGGGGAGCGAACGGG
rnacentral:rRNA from 1 species